rnacentral:rRNA from 1 species
GAUGAACGCUGGCGGCGUGCCUAAUACAUGCAAGUCGAGCGAACGGACGAGAAGCUUGCUUCUCUGAUGUUAGCGGCGGACGGGUGAGUAACACGUGGAUAACCUACCUAUAAGACUGGGAUAACUUCGGGAAACCGGAGCUAAUACCGGAUAAUAUUUUGAACCGCAUGGUUCAAAAGUGAAAGACGGUCUUGCUGUCACUUAUAGAUGGAUACGCGCUGCAUUAGCUAGUUGGUAAGGUAACGGCUUACCAAGGCAACGAUGCAUAGCCGACCUGAGAGGGUGAUCGGCCACACUGGAACUGAGACACGGUCCAGACUCCUACGGGAGGCAGCAGUAGGGAAUCUUCCGCAAUGGGCGAAGGCCUGACGGAGCAACGCCGCGUGAGUGAUGAAGGUCUUCGGAUCGUAAAACUCUGUUAUUAGGGAAGAACAUAUGUGUAAGUAACUGUGCACAUCUUGACGGUACCUAAUCAGAAAGCCACGGCUAACUACGUG